CCGGAAUUACUGGGUGUAAAGGGAGCGCAAGUGGGAUGGAAAGUCGAAUGUGAAAUCUAGAGGAUCAACUCGAAAGUUGCGUUCAAAACUGUCGUGCUUGAGUGAAGUAGAAGCAGAUCGGAAUUCCCGGUGUAGCGGUGGAAUGCGUAGAUAUCCGGAGGAACACCCGUGGCGAAGGCGGCCUGCUGGGCUUUAACUGACACUGAGGCUCGAAAGCUUGGGGAGCAAACAGGAUUAGAUACCCUGGGAGUCCACACCGUAAACGAUGAUUACUAGGUGUGGGGGGACUGACCCCUUCCGUGCCGGAGUUAACACAAUAAGUAAUCCACCUGGGGAGUACGGCCGCAAGGUUGAAACUCAAAGGAAUUGACGGGGGCCCGCACAAGCAGUGGAGUAUGUGGUUUAAUUCGAAGCAACGCGAAGAACCUUACCAGGUCUUGACAUCCCGUGCAUAGCAUAGAGAUAUGUGAAGUCUUCGGACACGGAGACAGGUGGUGCAUGGUUGUCGUCAGCUCGUGUCGUGAGAUGUUGGGUUAAGUCCCGCAACGAGCGCAACCCUUACCGACAGUUACUACGCAAAGAGGACUCUGUCGGGACCGCCGUUGACAAAACGGAGGAAGGUGGGGAUGACGUCAAAUCAUCAUGCCCUUUAUGACCUGGGCUACACACGUACUACAAUGGCCGUUAACAAAGGGGACCGAACAGGCGACUGUGAGGAAAUCCGAGAAAAGCGGUCUCAGUUCGGAUCGCAGGCUGCAACCCGCCUGCGUGAAGUCGGAAUUGCUAGUAAUCGCGGAUCAGC
rnacentral:rRNA from 1 species